CAGAAAGAACUACUUGGCAGAAGUCUUUAGGACAGUUAGUAGAUUUAUUGCUAUUACUAUCUUUAUUUGCUUUAAAAUUGUUUGUUAUAAAGACAGGCAACGAUUAUUAUUUAUUACAUGGCAUAUAGUUGUGUGGUAUAUAAUUUAUCUGUGGUAAAACAAUAAUUGCGUGUGAGGGUUUAAACCUGUCAGGUGUGUGUACAAUUUUGUAGUUAUUAGAAAUAUAUAUAAGUGGAUUGUACUGAAUCUAUCUAGUGGAAUAACUUAACCUUCAUAUCGAUCUUUAUGCUAGCUCCAGGGAAUAAACACGCAGAAUGCUAGAAAAAAGCAAAAGGUUCGAAAUAAGGCAAUUUACUUGGAUUCCUGACGUCUAAUCUCAAAAUGCAGAUAAAACAAUGGCGGUAUACUGUAGACUUUCUGUGAACACAGUAAUACCGAAUGAAAUCAGCGAAGACUAUAUUAAAAACAUUGCCGUAGGAAAACAAAGCUAGUGUUUACCAAAUACAAAUAAAUGUGUAAUAAUUAUGUAAUUUAA